GAUGAACGCUGGCGGCGUGCCUAAUACAUGCAAGUCGAGCGAAUGGAUUAAGAGCUUGCUCUUAUGAAGUUAGCGGCGGACGGGUGAGUAACACGUGGGUAACCUGCCCAUAAGACUGGGAUAACUCCGGGAAACCGGGGCUAAUACCGGAUAACAUUUUGAACCGCAUGGUUCUAAAUUGAAAGGCGGCUUCGGCUGUCACUUAUGGAUGGACCCGCGUCGCAUUAGCUAGUUGGUGAGGUAACGGCUCACCAAGGCAACGAUGCGUAGCCGACCGGAGAGGGUAAGCGGCCACACUGGGACUGAGACACGGCCCAGACUCCUACGGGGGGCAGCAGUAGGGAAUCUUCCGCAAUGGACGAAAGUCUGACGGAGCAACGCCGCGUGAGUGAUGAAGGCUUUCGGGUCGUAAAACUCUGUUGUUAGGGAAGAACAAGUGCUAGUUGAAUAAGCUGGCACCUUGACGGUACCUAACCAGAAAGCCACGGCUAACUACGUGCCAGCCGCCGCUGUAA
rnacentral:rRNA from 1 species